rnacentral:rRNA from 1 species
UACGGAGGGUGUAAGCGUUGUCCGGAUUUAUUGGGUUUAAAGGGUGCGUAGGCGGCUAAUUAAGUCAGCGGUGAAAUUCUACAGCUUAACUGUAAGAACUGCAUUGAUACUGGUUGGCUUGAGUACAGAUGAGGUAGGCGGAAUUGACAGUGUAGCGGUGAAAUGCUUAGAUAUUGUCAAGAACACCUAUUGCGAAGGCAGCUUACUAAACUGUAACUGACGCUGAGGCACGAAAGCGUGGGGAUCAAACAGG